rnacentral:rRNA from 1 species
CAGUCGCCACGGUAAUACGAGGGGGGCAAGCGUUGUUCGGAAUUAUUGGGCGUAAAGGGCGCGUAGGCGGUUUGGCAAGUUUGGUGUGAAAUCUUCGGGCUCAACUCGAAGUCUGCACCGAAAACUGCCGGGCUUGAGUAUGGGAGAGGUGAGUGGAAUUUCCGGUGUAGCGGUGAAAUGCGUAGAUAUCGGAAGGAACACCUGUGGCGAAAGCGGCUCACUGGACCAUUACUGACGCUGAGGCGCGAAAGCUAGGGGAGCAAACAGGAUUAGAUACCCGCGUAGUCCCUGUCUCUUAUAC